rnacentral:rRNA from 1 species
GACGAACGCUGGCGGCGUGCCUAAUACAUGCAAGUCGAGCGAAGUUUUUCUGGUGCUUGCACUAGAAAAACUUAGCGGCGAACGGGUGAGUAACACGUAAAGAGCCUGCCUCAUAGACUGGGACAACUAUUGGAAACGAUAGCUAAUACCGGAUAACAGUAUUUCUCGCAUGAGAGAUAUUUAAAAGUUGGUUAUGCUAACACUAUGAGAUGGCUUUGCGGUGCAUUAGCUAGUUGGUGGGGUAAAGGCCCACCAAGGCGACGAUGCAUAGCCGACCUGAGAGGAUGAUCGGCCACACUGGGACUGAGACACGGCCCAGACUCCUACGGGAGGCAGCAGUAGGGAAUCUUCCGCAAUGGGCGAAAGCCUGACGGAGCAACGCCGCGUGAGUGAAGAAGGAUUUCGGUUCGUAAAGCUCUGUUGUUAGGGAAGAAUGGAUAUGUAGUAACUAUACAUGUAAGAGACGGUACCUAACCAGAAAGCCACGGCUAACUACGUG